GAGCUUCUAGACGGAGCGACUCAGCUCCAGAGUGUUAGAACGCCUGUAUCUAACUAUCUAUUAGAUGGUGAUGCAGGAAGCACUCUGAGCACUCCUCCAACAACGACUCAUCUCCGUGCAAACCGUCUGCGAUUAGGACGACGCAACCACCCAGGAAACGCAGGAAAUUCUGCCGCCACUACAAGUGGCGCAUCGGAGCCCAGGCCUUCAGUUUCUCCUCCCGGGAGUCCUGUGUCAGAGCUUCCUAUAACAAAAAAACCCUACGUCCGUCAACAAGUUGUGGAACAAAGGAGCUGUGGGACCGAAACCCUGGAGUCAGCAGUACAGCCUGACGGUGGGGACACGACGCGGGAAGGCCGGCGCUGUGAGACUCGAUCUACAGAGCCUGAAGCAC